UACAGAGGUCUCAAGCGUUGUUCGGAUUCAUUGGGCGUAAAGAGCGUGUAGGCGGCCAGAUAGGUCCGUUGUGAAAACUGGAGGCUUAACCUCCAGCGGUCGAUGGAAACCAUUUGGCUAGAGUCCGGAAGAGGAGAGUGGAAUUCCUGGUGUAGCGGUGAAAUGCGCAGAUAUCAGGAAGAACACCCGUGGCGAAGGCGGCUCUCUGGGACGGUACUGACGCUGAGACGCGAAAGCGUGGGGAGCGAACAGG
rnacentral:rRNA from 1 species